rnacentral:rRNA from 1 species
GAAGCCGGAAUUGCUAGUAAUGGCAGGUCAGCAUACUGCCGUGAAUACGUUCCCGGGCCUUGUACACACCGCCCGUCACACCAUGAGAGUUGGGAAUACCCGAAGCCUGUGAGCUAACAUUUAUGAGGCAGCAGUCGAAGGUAGAAUCAAUGAUUGGGGUGAAGUCGUAACAAGGUACC